ACGGUUGAUCCUGAUACAUCCA
rnacentral:siRNA from 1 species